rnacentral:rRNA from 1 species
CCUACGGGUGGCAGCAGUGAGGAAUAUUGGUCAAUGGACGAGAGUCUGAACCAGCCAAGUAGCGUGAAGGAUGACUGCCCUAUGGGUUGUAAACUUCUUUUAUAAAGGAAUAAAACGAGGCACGUGUGCCUUUAUGCAUGUACUUUAUGAAUAAGGAUCGGCUAACUCCGUGCCAGCAGCCGCGGUACUACGGAGGAUCCGAGCGUUAUCCGGAUUUAUUGGGUUUAAAGGGAGCGUAGAUGGGUUGUUAAGUCAGUUGUGAAAGUUUGCGGCUCAACCGUAAAAUUGCAAUUGAUACUGGCAGCCUUGAGUACAGUUGAGGUAGGCGGAAUUCGUGGUGUAGCGGUGAAAUGCUUAGAUAUCACGAAGAACUCCGAUUGCGAAGGCAGCCUACUAAACUCCCACUGACAUUGAUGCUCGAAAGUGUGGGUAUCAAACAGGAUUAGAUACCCCUGUAGUC